AACGCACCUUGCACCCUUUGGUAUUCCGAAGGGUAUGCCUGUUUGAGUGUCUUGAACAUUUCACAACGAACGAUUUGUUCUUCGGAACGAGUCGUUGGAUGUGGUUUUGAGCGAUGUUGCCAAAGUUGCCGUUGUCGCUGGACAAUGGCAUGGAUUGGCUCGCUUCAAAUAAAUUAGCUAGCGCUUCCUCGGCGACGACAGCAUGCGUGAUAAUUUCUUCUCGAAUGUUUGGCGUCGGACGAGGGCAUGGACUUGUGCCAUGUACGAAUAGCUUCUGAAAGAACAAAAUGGGAUUGGGUAACACCGAUCCCCCAACUUCUUAGACCUCAAAUCAGGUAGGACUACCCGCUGAACUUAA
rnacentral:misc_RNA from 1 species